rnacentral:rRNA from 1 species
AGGACGAACGCUGGCGGCGUGCCUAAUACAUGCAAGUCGAGCGAAUCUUUGGGAGCUUGCUCCCAUUGGUUAGCGGCGGACGGGUGAGUAACACGUGGGCAACCUGCCUGUAAGACUGGGAUAACACCGGGAAACCGGUGCUAAUACCGGAUAAUCCUUUUCCUCACAUGAGGGAAAGCUGAAAGACGGCGCAAGCUGUCACUUACAGAUGGGCCCGCGGCGCAUUAGCUAGUUGGUGAGGUAACGGCUCACCAAGGCGACGAUGCGUAGCCGACCUGAGAGGGUGAUCGGCCACACUGGGACUGAGACACGGCCCAGACUCCUACGGGAGGCAGCAGUAGGGAAUCUUCCGCAAUGGACGAAAGUCUGACGGAGCAACGCCGCGUGAGCGAUGAAGGCCUUCGGGUCGUAAAGCUCUGUUGUUAGGGAAGAACAAGUACCGGAGUAACUGCCGGUACCUUGACGGUACCUAACCAGAAAGCCACGGC